CGAGUAUACCCAAGGGUGUGCCCCGUCCUCAGACAGAAAAGAUAGGUAGUCAGGCAAUUGUGCUGCGAGGGAUCUGAUCACCUCUGGAUCAGUUCCCUCUAUUUCUCCAUAGAGCCAUGCCAGGACAUGUAACAUAACUAUGUACAAGUUUAUUAAUAUAUACACAUAAAUAUAGAUAAGACCCAUAAAUGAAUAGUAAAUAUUUACAAUAUGAUUUUACAUAUACAGCCACUUUCGACAAACAAUGGCCAGGAAAGGGUACCACCACCAGUGGCUAUCAAGUCCCCACAGCGGCAGCAGAGCCAGGGCAGCCUGGCACACCCUAUAUAAACUGCCAUUUGCCAAGAGAACUGGUGACCUCCAAUGGACCUUGGCCACUUCAUCGAGCACCUGCACCCAGCAGAAUCAGUGGUCUGCCUCUUCCACGAGAAGCAAGUAAAGGAAAUACUCUUCCACACCUUUCUUGACAUCCCUAAAAAGCAGCCGCUCUUUGCUGCACUUAGUGGCCUCUUUGGCAUGCUAGACUUGGACUUCUCCUUGCAACAUAAUGUACACUAAUUUGUUUCCCUCAGGGCUACUGAAGGAACUCUAUGUAGAGUUGAAGAUGGCCAGCUGGUCUUAAAGGUGUGACCACAUGAAUGGUGGAGGGAAGGGGAAGGGAAAGGGGUUCACUGGUUAUGAUGUACAUUGAUUGACAGAUGCUUUCAUACCCAGCUCCUUGUGGGGAUAUGCACUUUUACCUUGUCUUUAACAUUUUUAUAAUAAAGAUUGAAAAAAAGUC